rnacentral:rRNA from 1 species
ACGUAGGCACCAAGCGUUGUCCGGAUUUAUUGGGCGUAAAGAGCUCGUAGGCGGUUCAGUAAGUCGGGUGUGAAAGCUCUGGGCUCAACCCAGAGACGCCACCCGAUACUGCUGUGACUUGAGUACGGUAGGGGAGUGGGGAAUUCCUGGUGUAGCGGUGAAAUGCGCAGAUAUCAGGAGGAACACCGGUGGCGAAGGCGGGUCUCUGGGCCGAUACUGACGCUGAGGAGCGAAAGCGUGGGGAGCGAACAGGA